CCCCCGGAGGGGGGUGGAUCAGGCCACCAACAAGACCCCGAGCCAGGACGACUCAGGGAUGCCCUCCCCUGCUCAGCGGGGGCAAGAGGCGGGUCUUCUGGUCCUCAGGCAGUGGCGUGGACAAGGAUCCCGCCCUCAGGGCAGAGAGACCAAGUCCAGGGGUCGGGGGUCGGGUCCUAGGCACUCUGCUGUCUCUGUGUCCUUCCUCCCCGCGUCGAGGCAUGCCAGCGAGGAUCCCGCAGAUCUGGGCUAGCGGCUUCGCUUUGUACUGUCUGACCACCACCCCUCCGGAUCCAUGGCGCGAAUUUCCUAGCGCUCUCAUCUGCGAAGGCCCCGGGGAUCUGAAGUUCUACCCGCAGAAUCCCGGGUCUCUCCGUCCCCCCAAAAAAGGGGAACCCGAGGCUUCAGGCGGUGCCGGCUGUGGGGACUGUGGAUGGUGGCUGGGGAAGAGACCAGAGGAAGGGGACUGGCAUCAAGUAGUCCAUCAAUAUGAUUGACUACUUUGACAGACUUCCUUGAGCAUAAAACCAACCUUGCAUUCCUGGAAUAAAUCCAGCUCACCCUUAUUUUACUGCUCCAAUCUUUUUAAAAGAAGUGAGGACAAUCAUGCUGGGGAAGCGAUGGACCUUUCUCCCUGGGAAAUGCCCAGGCUGGCUAAUUUGAGACAGAAGAAGGUGCAUUGGCCCCCAGCUCAACCCUGGCUCUGCAACUCUCAGAGGACCCACACCUCUGCCUUAUACACACCUUAUAAGACAGAUAAUGUAUGUUCUCCUUGUGAAGGUCAAGGAGUUAAUUAUUUCUUUGGAGUCUUCUAGCACAACAGAUAACAUCUAAGGAGUGAAACUGUGCCCCAAGGGGAGUCGCCAUGAAUGUUUUCCAAGACCACUGACUCAUCAAGACCCCUGGCUUCAGGGCAUAAGCGACUUAUGGGGAACCUUUAAACACUCCUCUGUGUUCUGGAUGCCUGAGAAGACACAUGCAUGGAACCACCUCAAUAAAACCCUA